rnacentral:lncRNA from 1 species
GUGGCGGUGUCUAGUUGACGGUGAUGGAGCAAGGGACGGCCGGCGGCAGGCCAAAAGAAAAUUAAAAAAAAAUUAGAAAAAUAAGAGACCACCCCCUUUCUCUUUGAUUUUCUCUGGUCAUUAGCGAUCACCGAUAGCCAUAACCUUUGAGAAAGAUAGGUAAAGAGGUGGAGGUCCAAACCUAGGGGUGAGAUGCUGCAAACGACGGUGUCGGUGGCCAGAAAAGAGAGAACAAAGUUCGGUCAAACAGGGACAAAAAUAGAAUUUAUGUUUUUAUGGGAUUUCUGACGAAUUCGAUGGUCGGUGAGGGUGCACGAUGUCAUGGAAAGGAGGGGAAGGAAGAGAAAAAGGAGGGUCGGGGCUUACCUCUGACUCCGAUGAGGUCUACGGCAAAAAUUUGAGGCAAACACGAAGAGGGCGUCAGCAGCUUCAACGGGAGAAUCCGAGAGAAAGAAGGAGAAAUUAGUGCUCGUCGUGGCCAGUCAUGGAGGAGGAAGGAUUUUAUAGGGCUCUUCCUAGGGUUCCUAUUUGCCCUAGGAGUCCUUGAUCUAAUCGAACAAGGGGAGGAAGAAGAAGACUCCCGUUGGGAGUCUUCGUUCAAUUUUUUUUUCUCUAUAGGCUUGAUGGGCCAAAAUCAGAUGGGCUGAUUUAUUAGAAUAGAGUAUUACAUUCUACCCCCUUAGAAAAAAAUUUCGUCCUCAAAAUUUGGUAUAUCUUCACUCUUUUAUCAAUAGAGAUCUUAAUCUUCAUACUAUCCUUACUAUACUCUUAGAUCUGGUUUCAUCAAUCCUAACUUCCUCAUUUAAAAUUUAAUUUUUUUUUUAACAAGACAUUGAUAAAAGUAACUUUUCUAAGAGAAGAUAUAACAUAUAGUGGCUUAUUCAAUUCUAUAUAGUUAUUACUUGGA